CGCAGCGGCGGGCGGCGGCGCGAGCCCAGCCGGGAGAUGGCGGCGGCGGCGGCGGCGGCGGCGCCCAGCGUGUGAGCAGCCGCCCGGGAGCCGCCGGCCCGGGCCCAGGACGACCCCAACCCCGCCCGCAGCCAUGGGCAACGAGGCCAGCCUGGAGGGUGGCGCUGGCGAAGGGCCGCUGCCGCCUGGAGGCCCCGGCCCGGGCCCGGGCCCCGGCGCUGGGAAGCCUCCUUCAGCACCGGCCGGCGGUGGACAGCUCCCCGCGGCUGGAGCGGCGCGGGGGACAGCGGGACCACCCGGCCCGGGCCCGGGUCCCGGGCCUGGCCCCGGCCCGGGCAGCGUUUCCAGGAGAAUGGAUCCCAAGGAGCCCCUGGGUAGCCAGAGAGCUGCUUCCGCAGCCCAGAAGCCAGCCUCUGCCACUGCUCCGGGCCGCGAGAGCCCCCGGGAGACCAGGGCCCAGGGCCCAGCAGGCCAGGAGGCUGACGGCCCCCGCCGGACGCUGCAAGUAGACAGCAGGACGCAAAGAUCAGGGCGUUCUCCCUCUGUGUCGCCAGACAGAGGCAGCACCCCCACAUCACCCUACUCUGUCCCCCAGAUCGCCCCCCUUCCCAGCAGCACGCUGUGUCCCAUCUGUAAGACCUCGGACCUCACAUCGGCCCCCAGCCAGCCAAACUUCAACACCUGUACCCAGUGUCACAGCAAAGUGUGCAACCAGUGUGGGUUCAACCCCAACCCUCACCUCACCCAGGUGAAGGAAUGGCUUUGUCUCAACUGCCAGAUGCAGAGGGCUCUGGGGAUGGACAUGACCACGGCUCCUCGUUCCAAGAGUCAGCAGCAGCUGCACUCCCCGGCAUUGUCUCCUGCCCACUCCCCAGCCAAACCGCCCCUGGGGAAGACGGAGCAAGAGAGAGGACGGGGCCCCGGGGGAUCCACGCCCGGUGCCCGCCAGGCUGAGACAGCCAGGGCCACCUCAGUGCCGGGGGCUGCCCACGCAGCUGCACCUCCAGAGGGGGGCAGGGUUUCUCCUCAACCCCCUCAUCCCACUAAGCCUUCCUCUGCUGAGUCCAGGCCCCCUGCAGGAGAGGCCCUGGCCAAAAGUGCCACCACGGUGCCCUCUGGGCCCAGUGCUGCCGAGCAGACCCAGGAGGGCCUCACUGGGAAGCUCUUUGGCCUUGGUGCAUCGCUGCUGACCCAGGCGAGCACACUCAUGUCUGUGCAGCCUGAGCCCGAGGCCCAGGGACAGCCUGCCCCCAGCAAGGGACCGCCCAAGAUUGUCUUCAGUGAUGCCAGCAAGGACACUGGCCCAAGACCCCCUGGCUCAGGGCCCGGGCCAGGGCCAGCACCGGGAGCCAAAACUGAGCCUGGCGCUCGGCCAGGGCCAGGAGCAGGGCCGGCAGGAGCCCCGGCGAGAACUGGGGGAACAGCAAGCCCUAAGCAUGGCAAAGCAGAGCACCAGGCAGUGUCCAAGGCAGCUGCCAAGCCAAAGACCAUGCCCAAGGAAAAGGCCACCUGCCCACUGUGCCAAGCCGAGCUCAAUGUGGGCGGCAAGGGCCCCGCCAACUACAACACCUGUACCACCUGCAAGCUCCAGGUGUGCAACCUGUGCGGUUUCAACCCAACGCCUCACCUGGUAGAGAAAAGCGAGUGGCUUUGUCUGAACUGCCAAACUAAGCGGCUGAUGGAGGGCAGCCUGGGAGAGCCGAGCCCCAUGCCACUACCCACCUCCCCGCACCCCCCAGCUGGGGCCCCUCGUGCUGCUGGCACAGCCCCUCUGAAGCAGAAAGGGCCACCAGGGCCAGGCCAGCCAUCUGGCCCUGUGUCUGCCAAGGCCAGUCCCCCGCCCACCAAGGCCAGCCCCCAGACCAAGCCCCCGCGGGCUGCAGAAGCCAGCAAGACUCCAAGUGCGGCCCAGGAAAAGAAGACUGUGAAAGCUGAGCCUGUGCCCAAGCCACCACCGGAGACCGCCCCACCCCCAGGAACCCCUAAAGCGAAAACAGGGGCCCGGAAGACUGAGCCUGCCCCCGCUCCUGUCAAGGCCACUCCAGAAGCUCCCAAGGUGGGGGAGCCAGAGGAGCCAGUGAGCAAGCCUUACUCUCAGGACCUGUCCCGGAGCCCGCAAAGCCUCAGCGACACAGGCUAUUCAUCUGACGGCGUCUCCAGCUCCCAGAGCGAGAUCACCGGGGUUGUGCAGCAGGAAGUGGAGCAGCUGGACAGCGCAGGGGUGACAGGGCCACGCCCGCCCAGCCCCUCAGAGCUCCACAAGAUGCGGCCUUCUCUGGAGGCCAAAGGCCCGGCCUCUGCUGUGGAGCGGGGCAAGCCCCCUGACAGCGGCAGCGGGGAGGACCAGAAGCAGAGGCCCCACUCCUUGUCCAUCAUGCCCGAGGCCUUCGACUCCGAUGAGGAGCUGGAGGACAUCCUGGAGGAAGAGGAGGACUCCUUGGAGUGGGGGCGCCAGAGGGAGCAGCGGGACACAGGGGAGUCCUCAGACGACUUUGGCAGCCAGCUGAGGCAUGACUAUGUAGAGGACAGCAGUGAGGGUGGCCUGUCCCCUGUCCCACCCCAGCCGCCAGCCCGGGGGACGGAGCUGACAGACGAGGAGUUCAUGCGCCGGCAGAUCCUGGAGAUGAGCGCCGAGGAGGACAACCUGGAAGAAGAGGAGGCUGCCCCUUCCGGGCAUGGCCUGGCCAAGCACGGCACCCAGAAGGGCGGGCCCAGGUCCCGCUCUGAGCCCAGCCAGGAGCCCGUAGCGCUGCCCAAGAGGCGCCUGCCCCACAACGCCACCACCGGCUAUGAGGAGCUGCUCGGGGAGGGAGGCCCGGCCGAGGCUGCUGACGGCAGCGGGGCCCUGCAGGGUGGACUGCGCCGCUUCAAGACCAUCGAGCUCAACAGCUCUGGCAGCUACGGGCAUGAGCUGGACCUGGGUCAGGGCCCCGACCCUGGUCUGGACCGGGAGCCUGAGCUGGAGAUGGAGAGUUUGACGGGCUCACCCGAGGAUCGCUCCCGCGGGGAGCACUCAUCUACCCUGCCUGCCUCCACGCCCAGCUACACAUCCGGCACCUCCCCCACCUCCCUGUCCUCACUCGAGGAGGACAGCGACAGCAGCCCCAGCCGCCGGCAGCGCCUAGAGGAAGCCAAGCAGCAGCGCAAGGCCCGGCACCGUUCCCACGGGCCCCUGCUGCCCACCAUUGAGGACUCAUCCGAGGAGGAGGAGCUGCGGGAGGAGGAGGAGCUGCUGCGGGAGCAGGAGAAGAUGCGAGAGGUGGAGCAGCAGCGCAUCCGCAGCACUGCCCGCAAGACCCGGCGGGACAAGGAGGAGCUGCGGGCCCAGCGGCGGCGCGAGCGCUCCAAGACGCCCCCCAGCAACCUGUCCCCCAUCGAGGACGCCUCCCCCACGGAGGAGCUGCGGCAGGCGGCCGAGAUGGAAGAGCUACACCGCUCCUCCUGUUCCGAGUACUCGCCCUCCCCCUCCCUCGACUCCGAAGCCGAGGCCCUGGAGGGCGGCCCCGGCCGGCUCUACAAGUCGGGCAGUGAGUACAACCUGCCCACUUUCAUGUCUCUCUACUCGCCCACUGAGACCCCCCUGGGCAGCGCGGCCACCCCCAGCACCGGCAGGCCCCUCAAGAGCGCCGAGGAGGCCUACGAGGAGAUGAUGCGGAAGGCUGAGCUGCUCCAGCGGCAACAAGGUCAGGCUGCAGCAGGCCGGGGCCUUCCCACCGGGCCCUCGCAGGCCGCAGCCCCCAGGGGCCAGGGGCUCUUUGAACCUCAGGACACCCUGCAGCAGGACUCUGGCCGGGCAGUGCAGCCGGCCCCAGAUGGCACCACCGUGUAUGAGGAGAUUCUCCAGACCUCCCAGAGCAUCGCGCGCAUGCACCAGGCCUCCUCCCGGGACCUGGCCUUUGCUGAGGACAAGAAGAAGGAGAGGCAGUUUCUGAAUGCUGAGAGUGCAUGCAUGGACCCAAUGAAGCAGAACGGUGGUCCGCUCACCCCGGGGACCAGUCCCACCCAGCUCGCUGCCCCUGUGUCCUUCACCUCUGCCUCCUCAGACAGUGGCGGGGGCCGAGUCAUUCCUGAUGUCCGUGUCACUCAGCACUUUGCGAAGGAGCCUCAGGACACUGUCAGGCUUCACAUCUCUCCCGCCUCCCCAAGCCCUACCUCCAAGGAGGUGGGUACGUCCUUUGCCCAGGGCCCUGGUGUCCCUGCCACUACAACUAUGACUCCCUUGGCAGGACUACCACGAGGCUAUGCGGCCCCAGCCUCCCUGGCCAGCUCACCUUCUUCCACGAGCCUCGGCUAUGGACAGACCCCAACAACGGCAAACUAUGGGUCCCAAACUGAGGAGCUGCCCCCCACCCCUAGUGGACGGGCGGCCCGAGAGAAGCCUCUGGGUGUGAGUGAUGAGCCCUCCCGGGGAUACUCCUACUAUGCAGGCUCCAGCCCACCCCUCUCCCCCUCUUCUCCCUCAGAGAGCCCCACUUUCUCCCCCGGCAAGCUGGGCCCGCGGCCCACAGCAGAGUUCUCUACACAGACGCCAAGCCCGACUCCUUCUUCGGACCUGCCACGGAGCCCUAGUGCCCCCACGCAGAUGCCCAUGGUGGCACAGGGCACGCAAACACCACACAGACCCAGCACACCGCGCCAGGCCUGGCAGCAGUCCUCCCAGGAGGCCCCUCUCAUGGUCAUCACACUGGCGUCAGAGGCCUCCAGCCAGACCAGGAUGGUGCAUGCCAGCGCCUCCACCUCACCUGUGUGCUCCCCCUCUGACAGCCAGCCCACAUCCCACAGCUACAGCCAGACGACGCCACCAAGUGCUUCUCCGCAGCCCCCCGAGCCGCCUGGGCCCCCUGGCUUCCCACGGGCGCCCAGUGUCGGUGCAGAAGGGCCUCUGGCGCUCUAUGGCUGGGGCGCUCUCCCUGCUGAGAACAUCUCCCUAUGCCGCAUCUCCUCUGUCCCGGGCACAUCCAGGGUGGAGCCAGGCCCUCGCCCCCCCGGCAGUGCUGUGGUCGAUCUACGCACCGCUGUGAAGCCCACACCCAUCAUUCUCACUGACCAGGGCAUGGACCUGACCUCUCUCGCUGUGGAAGCCAGGAAAUAUGGCCUGGCCCUGGAUCCCAUCCCAGGUCGGCAGGCAACGGCAGUGCAGCCCUUGGUCAUUAACCUCAACGCCCAGGAGCAGACACAUGCCUUUCUCAGCACCGCCACCACCGUGAGCGUCACGCUGGCCUCCACCGUGCUCAUGGCUCAGCAGAAGCAGCCUGUGGUCUAUGGAGACCCCUUUCAGAACAGACUGGACUUCGGUCAGGGCACAGGCAGCCCCGUGUGCCUGGCCCAGGUCAAGCAGGUUGAGCAGGCCGUGCAGACAGCCCCAUACCGAGGCGGGCCAAGGGGAAGACCCAGGGAGGCCAAGUUUGCCAGGUACAACCUACCCAACCAGGUGGCACCUCUAACCAGAAGGGACGUUUUGAUCACUCAGAUGGGCACUGCCCAGGGUGUCGGCCUCAAGCCAGCUCCAGUGCCAGAGCCUGGUGCUGAGCCCGCCCGGGCCGGCCCUGCAGAGCUGCGGCCCCAUGCCCUGCCGGGGGCCAGGAAGCCGCACACGGUGGUGGUGCAGAUGGGAGAGGGGGCUUCAGGCACAGUGACCACGCUACUCCCCGAGGAGCCCCCGGGAGCCCUGGAUCUCACAGGGAUGAGGCCCGAGAGCCAGCUGGCCUGCUGUGACAUGGUCUACAAGUUCCCUUUCGGCAGUAGCUGUACUGGGACCUUCCAAUCCGCCCCCAGCGCACCUGAGAAGAAUGUGGCAGAGGUGGUCCCGCCUGGCCAGAGCAGUGGCCCCUUCUAUGGUCCUCGGGACUCUGAGCCCCUUGAACCUCCUGCCUACCGGGCCCCAGGGGUCGUGGGCCCUGGGCCUCAUGAAGAGCAGAGGCCCUACCCCCAUGGCCUCCAUGGCAGGCUCUACUCCUCCAUGUCCGACACCAACUUGGCUGAGGCGGGCCUCAACUACCAUGCCCAUAGGAUCGGCCAGCUCUUCCAGGGUCCUGGACGAGACUCGGCAAUGGACCUCAGCUCCCUGAAGCACUCCUACAGCCUGGGCUUUGCCGAUGGCCGCUACCUCGGCCAGGGCCUGCAGUAUGGCUCAUUCACAGACCUGCGUCACCCCACUGAACUUUUGGCUCCCCCACUUCCCAUGAGGCGCUACAGCUCAGUGUCAAACAUCUACUCAGACCAUAGAUAUGGCUCUCGGGGAGAUGCAGCUGGCUUCCAGGAGGCCAGCCUGGCCCAGUACAGUGCCACCACGGCCCGAGAGAUCAGCCGUAUGUGUGCCGCCCUCAACUCCAUGGACCAGUACGGAGGGCGCCACGGGGCCAGCGGUGGUGGCCCGGACCUCAUGCAGUACCAGCCUCAGCCCCAGCCUGGGCCCAGUGCCCCCCAGGGUUUGACUCCCCUCCGGCCUGGCCUCCUUGGGAACCCCACCUUCCCAGAGGGCCACCCAGCACCUGGGAGCCUGGCUCAGUACCAGCCGACUGCAGGCCAAGGACCAGCAGUUCGACAGCUACUGCCAUCCACUGCCACGGUUCGGGCAGCUGACGGCAUGAUCUAUUCCACCAUCAACACCCCGAUUGCUGCAACACUGCCCAUCACCACCCAACCCGCCUCCGUGCUGCGGCCCAUGGUGCGUGGCGGCAUGUACAGGCCCUAUGCAUCCGGGGCAGUCACAGCUGUGCCAAUCGCCAGCCUGACACGUAUGCCCGUGAUUGCCCCCCGGGUGCCUCUUGGGCCACCGGGCAUAUACCGGUAUCCAGCACCAAGCAGGUUCCCGGCCGCUCCCAGCGUGCCGCCCCCAGAGGGGCCCCUGUAUCUGGGAAAGCCUGCCGCUGCAAAGGCGCCUGGGGCUGGGGCCCCACCCCGGCCAGAGCUGCCAGCAGGGGCUGCACGGGAGGAGGCACUUUCUACAGCUCCUGCUGCCACCGGCAAAGAGGCUGCAGUAGCAGGCCCGGCCCCAGUCCCACUGGCUGGCCAGAAGCCACCUGGAGAAGCAGUCCCAGGGGGUGUCAGUGGGGCCCUUGGCAGGCCAGGACUGGAGAAGGAGGAGCCCUCGCAGGAAGAGAGGCAGCGCAAACAGCAGGAGCAGCUGCUCCAGCUGGAGCGGGAGCGGGUGGAGUUGGAGAAGCUGCGACAGCUGCGGCUGCAGGAAGAGCUAGAACGGGAACGAGUAGAGCUGCAGCGGCACCGGGAGGAGGAGCAGCUGCUGGUGCAGCGGGAGCUGCAGGAACUGCAGACCAUCAAGCACCAUGUGCUGCAGCAACAGCAGGAGGAGCGCCAGGCUCAGUUCGCCCUGCAGCGGGAGCAGCUGGCGCAGCAGCGCCUACAACUGGAGCAGAUCCAGCAGCUACAGCAGCAGUUGCAGCAGCAGCUGGAAGAGCAGAAGCAGCGGCAGAAGGCCCCAUUCCCUGCAGCGGGAGGCGAUGCACCUGGCCGAGGACCUCCCCCAGCUCCUGGCGAACUAGCUCAGAACGGCCAGUACUGGCCCCCACUGACUCACGCCACCUUCAUUGCUGUGGCUGGGCCCGAGGGGCCUGCACAGCCCCGAGAGCCCACACUGCACCGGGGCCUCCCCAGCUCAGCCUCAGACAUGUCGCUGCAGACCGAGGAGCACUGGGAGGCAGGCCGCAGCGCCAUUAAGAAGCGGCACUCGAUGCCACGCCUCCGGGAUAUCUGCGAGCCAGAGUCGGCGCCUGAGCCCUGUGUGGUCAAGAGGAUUGCAGACAGCAGUGUCCAGACAGACGACGAGGAGGGAGAGGGCCGCUAUCUGCUGACCCGGAGGCGCAGGACACGGCGGAGCGCUGACUGCAGCGUGCAGACAGACGACGAGGACAGCGCCGAAUGGGAGCAGCCCGUGCGCCGCCGCCGGUCCCGGCUCUCCCGCCACUCGGACUCGGGUUCCGACAGCAAGCACGAUGCCUCUGGCUCCUCAGCAGCCACUGCUGCUGCCGCCGCCGCCAGGCCCAUGAGCAGCGUGGGCAUCCAGACCAUCAGCGACUGCUCCGUGCAGACUGAGCCUGACCAGCUGCCCCGGGUGUCUCCAGCCAUCCACAUCACAGCAGCCACGGACCCCAAGGUGGAGAUCAUUCGGUACAUAUCGGCCCCUGAGAAGACCGGGCGUGGGGAGAGCCUGGCCUGCCAGACGGAGCCCGACAGCCAGGCCCAGGGCGUGGCCGGGCCGCAGCUCAUCGGGCCGAGCGCCAUCAGCCCCUACCUACCCGGCAUUCAGAUGGUGACCCCGGGCGCCCUGGGCAGAUUCGAGAGGAAGAAGCCAGAUCCCCUGGAGAUUGGAUACCAAGCCCACCUGCCCCCGGAGUCCCUCUCCCAGCUUGUGAGCCGCCAGCCCCCCAAGUCCCCUCAGGUCCUCUACUCACCGGUCUCACCCCUGUCCCCACACCGGCUCCUGGACGCCUCCUUUGCUUCCAGUGAUAGACUGAACAAGGCUCACGUAAGUCCCCAGAAGCUCUUCACGGCUGACAGCGCGCUUCGCCUGCAGACGCUGCCUCGCCCCAUGAAGACCUUGCAGCGGUCUUUGUCUGACCCUAAACCCCUCAGCCCCACCGCCGAGGAGUCUGCCAAAGAGAGGUUCUCCCUCCUUCAGCACCAGGGGGGCCUGGGUAGCCAGGUGUCGGCGCUGCCACCCAACGGCCUGGCCCGCAAGGUGAAGCGGACACUUCCCAGCCCCCCUCCAGAGGAGGCCCACCUGCCCCUGGCAGGCCAGGCCUCCCAGCAGCUGUAUGCAGCCAGCUUGCUGCAGCGUGGGCUGGCAGGGCCCACUGCUGUCCCUGCCACCAAGGCUAGCCUGCUCCGGGAGCUGGACCGGGACCUGCGGCUAGUGGAGCAUGAGUCCACCAAGCUGCGUAAGAAGCAGGCAGAGCUGGACGAGGAGGAGAAGGAGAUCGACGCCAAGCUCAAGUACCUGGAGCUGGGGAUCACACAGCGCAAAGAGUCUCUGACCAAAGACCGAACCGGCCGUGACUACCCACCCUUGCGGGGACUCGGCGAGCACCGUGACUACCUGUCAGACAGUGAACUCAACCAGCUGCGGCUCCAGGGCUGCGCUACUCCCGCUGGCCAGUAUGCAGACUUCGCGGCCCCUGCCGCUGCUCCUACCACCCCCUCUGUCCCCACUGCUUUCCAGCAGCCCCGGUUCCAACCUCCGGCCACGCAGUAUCCUGCAGGCACUGGAGGGCCGAGUCAGAAUGGAUUCCCAGCCCACCAGGCUCCCACCUACCCCGGCUCUAGCACGUACCCAGCAGCCCCUGCCUUCCCUCCUGGCACCAGCUACCCAACUGAGCCCACCCCACCAAGUCAACAAGCUUUCCGUCCCACUGGUCAUUACACAGCCCAAACACCCAUGCCAAGCACACAAAGCACCCAUUACCCCGUCCCAGCGGACAGCCGCGCCCCACACCAAAAGCCACGGCAGACCUCACUAGCCGAUUUGGAACAGAAAGUGCCCACCAACUAUGAAGUUAUCGCCAGUCCUGCUGUGGCCAUGUCUUCAGCCCCAUCUGAGACCAGCUACAGUGGCCCAGCAGUGAGCUACGAGCAAGGCAAGGCCCCUGAUAUGGCCCGUGCCGGUGACCACGGCAGCGUGAGCCUCGGCCCAGCCCCCACCUACCCCUCUGACUCCCACUACACCAGCCUGGAGCAGAAUGUCCCUCGGAACUAUGUGAUGAUCGAUGACAUCAGUGAGCUCACCAAGGACAGCACCUCCACUGCCCCAGACAGCCAGCGGCUGGACCCCCUGGGGCCAAGCAGCAGUGGGCGGCCAGGGAAAGAGCCUGGAGAGCCAGGUGGCCUGGAGGGGCCAGUGCUGCCCUGCUGCUACACCAGAGGGGAGGAGGAGUCUGAGGAGGACUCAUAUGACCCCCGGGGGAAGAGUGGCCAUCACCGGGGCGUGGACAGCAAUGGCCGAUCCACCAGCACCCACUACUACAGUGACAGUGACCACAGACACGGGGCACGAGCAGAUAAGUAUGGUCCAGGCCCUGUGGGGCCCAAGCACCCCUCCAAGAGCCUGGCUCCAGCUGCCGUCCCGUCAAAGCGCAGCAAGCACCGGAAGCAGGGCAUAGAGCAAAAGAUCUCCAAGUUCUCCCCGAUCGAAGAGGCCAAGGACGUGGAGUCAGACCUGGCCUCCUAUCCAUCCUCCGCAGCCAGCGGCAGCCUGGCCUCUCGCGGAAGGAAGUUCCAGGAUGAAAUCACCUAUGGGCUCAAGAAGAAUGUGUAUGAGCAGCAGCGGUACUACGGGGUGUCCAGCCGGGACCCGGUGGAGGAGGAUGACCGCAUGUACAGUGGGAGCAGCCGCUCCCGGGUCUCCUCCGCUUACAGUGGGGAGAAGCUGUCCAGUCACGAGUUCAGUGGCCGGGCUAAGGGAUAUGAACGGGAACGGGAGGUCAUGGACCGACACCAAAAGGGGGGCUCCAAGCCCUCAUCCUUGGGUAUGGCCCAUGGCCGGGCUCGGCCCCCCAUGCGGAGCCAGACCUCCGAAGAGGAGAGUCCUGUCAGCCCCCUAGGGCGGCCACGCCCUGCUGGGGGUGCCCUCCCUCCGGGAGAUACUUGCCCACAGUUCUGCUCCAGCCACUCCAUGCCUGACGUCCAGGAACACGUCAAGGACGGGCCACGGGCUCACACGUAUAAGCGCGAAGAAGGCUACAUCCUGGAUGACUCCCACUGCGUAGUUUCCGACAGCGAAGCGUAUCACCUGGGCCAGGAGGAGACAGACUGGUUUGAUAAGCCCCGGGAUGCCCGCUCUGACCGGUUCAGGCACCACGGGGGCCAUGCAGUCUCCUCCUCCCAGAAGCGAGGCCCUGCCAGGCACAGCUACCAUGACUACGAUGAACCCCCUGAGGAGGGCAUGUGGCCGCAUGAUGAGGGUGGCCCAAGCCGCCACACCUCAGCCAAGGAACACCGGCAUCAUGGCGACCAUGGGCGGCACUCGGGUCGCCACGCUGGUGAGGAGCCGGGCCGGCGUGCUGCCAAACCACACUCUCGGGACCUGGGUCGCCAUGAGACCCGGCCUCACCCUCAGCCCAGUCCUGGCCCGGCUAUGCAGAAAAAGGGUCAGCCUGGGUACCCCAGCUCUGCUGAAUAUUCCCAGCCAUCCCGUGCUUCGUCCGCGUACCACCAUCCUUCCGAAAGCAAGAAGGGCUCCCGGCAGGCCCACUCUGGGCCUGCAGCACCGCAGCCAAAGCCAGAAGCGCAGCAGCAGCUGCCAGGCAGGCAGGCAGCUCCGGGGCCACAGCAGUCCCAAGCUCCAAUGUCCCGGCAGACACCCUCAGCAGCCUCACGCCAGGCGCCACCGCAGCAGCAACCUCCAGCCCAAGGUCCCCAGCAGGUCCGGCUGCAGCAGCAGGCCCAGGUCAGCGCCCGGGGCCCAGCCGCUGCUGCCAGCCAGCCAGCAGGAAAGCCUCAGACAGGUCCAGCUGCGGCCACAGGCCCCCCGCCGGCAGGAGCGGCACGGGCAGAACAGGCUGACAGCGCUAAAGGGACAGCCAAAGCACCCCAGCAAGGGAGGCCCCCUCAAACCCAGCCGCCGUCAGGCCCUGCUGCAGGGGUGAAGGCUGGAGCCAGGCCUGGAGGGCCCCCCGGGGCUCCUGCUGGCCAACCAGGUGCCGAAGGAGAGAGUGUGUUCUCCAAGAUCCUCCCAGGGGGCGCAGCAGAGCAGGCUGGCAAGCUGACAGAAGCCGUCUCUGCUUUUGGCAAAAAAUUUUCCUCAUUCUGGUGACCACGCCCUGCUGGGCUCCUGAAGACAUGAAGGGAGGUGAUAUCAUUGCUGUGGAAAAAUCUCUGGAGUCAGAGACCUGGGCACAGCUCUGGACUCUGCGUAUAACACAUCUACUAUCUGGCAAACCGUUUGGCCCAAAGAUUUGCCCCCUGUGGGAUGAGGCAGGCAGGCCUCGGGUGAGGAUGGGCUGUUUCCUCACAGCAACUGCCUGAGUGAAGCCCCUGCUGGACAAGAGCAACCACUGGCAUGACCCCUGCCGGCUUUGGCAAGAUGCCAGGCUCCCAUGCUGCUCCGGGUCUUACUGCCGCCGGGAGGGAGGAGGCCCCAGCAGUGUCUGGCUGCUCUUCCCACAGCAGCCGCCCGCCCACCCAGCCAGCCAGGCUUUCGAUGCGUUAUACACAGAGUUUGGGGGCACGCCGCCUGUUUCUGAUGAAUGCUGCCCUUCCUUCACGAUGCCAGAAGUUUUUCCACAGCCUUGGAGAGGGGCUUUGACUGAGGGCUGGGGGCCCCAGGCUCAGUUUCCUUCACAUUCCAGCUGGCCCGGAUCCCUCAGUGGCCACAAGGCCCUGCCCCCUUCACCCAGCUCUUCUGGGUGACCUGGGAGCAGAACUCCAUGUGGCUAGUGUGGGGUUGGGAGAACUUUACAAACAUUAGGACCUACCACUGUCUCAUCGCUGAAAUCAGAGGCCAUAGGACCGAAAAAGCAGCGUGGGCACCGGCUGAGACUCCUCCCAGCCCAUGGUGGCAGCGUGCUGAUUCACCUGCCGCCACCUCAAAGCCAUCCCCCAGCCAUCGUGAGCGUCCCAGCGGCACCGCCAUCGUCUCCACCAGCCGGCUCCUCAUUUGUAUACCUGGGGAUUUCUUUUGAUUUCAAGAGCAGCCUUAAUCAUUUCGGUUUGAUUUACAUGUAUACCUCAUAAACAUUUUUUUCUUUUGUUUCUCCUCCUCCCUUUCUCUCUCUUUGCUCCCUCCCUGCCUCUCCCCUCCACCACCACCACCUUGUGACGGAUGGUUUGGUUUCCUCUCUGCUCUGCCCCUGCUCAGCACAGGGAGAAUGUUGACUUAGAAGCAAUAGUGGGCAGCAGGCCACCAAGAGCACAACUCCAGGGCGAGGUCUAGGGAGGCCCCUCAGCCCGCCUCUGUUUACUGUGCAAUUCCAGUCCUUCUUAAGCCAUCAUCAGUGAGCAUGCUCAGAGCAGAGAGGCCAGGGCUUCUGCCAGCCGAAGGAAGGGCCCAGAGUCCUGUGGUGGGGAGUUUGGCACUGUCCAUCCACUUGGUGGACUGGGCAGCCUGCCUCCCUCACACCCUUCCUUUGGGGGCCUCCCUUCAUCUUGGGCAUAGCCACAAGUCUCAUCUCUAAUGUUCUAUGCAAUGAAAUAUAAACCCUCAAAGACAACUGUUAAUAUUUAAUAAAUUCCAUGUUAUGUAUAAGGAGUUAAUUGCAAACCUGCAAUUAAGAAACCAGAUAGAUAUGCGCAUAUCAAACCCCAUCCCCGCUCCCACCGUGUGUGUGAAAUUCUCAGUCUGUGGCAUGUUUGACCUGUGGCAGGACUCGCUGCUGCCAGGCGAGCCACCGCCUGUCCCGCAGUGGAGCAUGCACAGCUCGCAGCCUCUUUGCACGACUUCAUCCAUUUUAAAUGCUUGACCCUCUCUCUUGCUUGGAGUUCUUUUUGCCUCAGAAUAUCUCCUUCGGGAGUGCUUCUAGCUGACUUCCGCACGAGCUAGUGAGGACCUGCUGGGCUUUGCGCCCGAGUGGAGCGUGUGGGGUGGCAGGGCAGGUUAGUGCAAAGCCCCCCAUGCUCUGCAGCUUUCUCUGACCAACCGUGGCAAGUGGCACGCAGGUGGGAGCCCGCACAGGAUGCAUGAGUGUGAAUGUUCUGAAGGUUGUGAUGGGAUCUCUAGAUGUAAGUGGCACCUCCUCUUACCCAAGCCAGAGCCAGAGGUCUCUGGCCACCCUUUCUCAGCAGGACACAGCUGGGCUGCAUUUGUGGCCAGAGAGACAAAAGCCAGGCCAGGGCUUAACUCUGUCCAAGGAACUCCAGCUCCUGACUGCUCCUCUCUGUGCCUCUCCCUUGUGACAGGGACACUCAAAGGCCUGUGGUCAAGAGAUCUAGGCUGAGCUGGGGUCACAACACAUUUCAGAAGAGCUGGACCUCUGGCAGCUGUAGUGAGGACAGCUGAUUAUGUUAUCUGGACCUGAGUGGGUGUCCACAGAGGUUUUCAGUAGUCUCUUAGGAAGCUUCUCCAUAGCAGAAAUUCCAGAAGGUUCUAUUGUGGCCCUCACCACAUCUGUGUCCAGGGCCGAAACACUCUGCUCAUCCCUAUCUCUGACUCCCAAGUUCCCCAGUACUCAUCACUUCUCCACGGUGAGCCAGGAGUGCGAGCGGCAGUCUCUGCCCAACCCCUUGAGGCCUAGCCUUCCUCCAGAGUGCUCUGGCUUGCUCCAUGCAUUUCUCAGGGGUCCACAUUUCUCAUGCUUUCCUCUAAGGUCUAUACUCCACUUCAGUGAAGGAUCCUGGCCCACUGCUGGCAGCUAGGGGACAGGCUGUUCAUUCGGUGGGGCUGAGACUCUAGGUGUGAGCCUCAUCCAUCCCCCGGGACAGCUGCCUCAUCUCACAGAUCAGGUCUGGACUGACUAAGGCCAGCAGAGCAAGGGCUGAGGGAGACCACUCUGCAGCACCUCUGGCCAGCCAGGGCCAGGUCUGUGUGGGGUGGACUUAGGGGCUGGACAUAGGGGCACCAAGCUGUCCUUCCCACCAAAGGCCAGGGUGGGGCCAGGGGCAGGAAAUGGACAAGGUGAUAGGGGUGGUAGCCUCUACCAUACGACAGCUUUUCAGAAGAUUGCCUUUCUAGCCAAUCCGACUUUGAAAUUUCUGACAUCUGCCACUCCCCACCCUCUAGCGUGUCCACGAGACGCAUUUAUUCCUUGUGAAAGUGGCUGGAGCAGCCAUCGCUCUAGGUCACUAUAGCCAGAGGCUAGGGAGUGGUAUUCGGUGCCUUGGACAGCAAAGAGCAUCAAGCACAUCUCCAAUAGGCAAGGGUCUCUGGGAUGUGGUCCAGGCCUUCUCCAUCCACAGUGUCAGCAAGGGCACCGCCUCCUCUGUCCACUUUAGGACCCAGUGCACACACUUCACAGUGAUGCUGCCCCACCAUCCUUUUAGUCCUGGAGCAGAGAGCGGUCUCAGGGCCUGUGAGGAGGGCAGCCGUGGCUGCAGACAGCUUGUCUUCUGGAGCCUGGGGGGAGCUUUUCAGGCAGAUCCUUUGCCAUGGCAGUGUGGUCCCAGCCUGUGGGCCCCCUUCCCUGCCCUCUUGCCCUGCCCCCACUCUGUAAAUACUCGUUAUUGUGGACUCCGACAGGGUCAGAGGGACAGGCCUGAUCAACUAGAAUGCCUCAGAGUUGUCAACUCUGUCUCUCUGGAUACCAACAUCCCUGCAGCCUUGCGGGGCGGCACUGGAGCGCCAUGGAAGUCUUGAGAUAUUGUGUGUGUGCAUGUGAACAAGCGUGUGAGUGUGUAUGUGUGUGCGUGUCUGCCUCAUUCAGCCUCUGGGAUCAAAUCAGCUCCUUCUCUCCAAGCACAAGGCCUUGGAGAGUGGUGGCACCCAACGCCUUUUCCCUGCUAGCUUCCACGUCUUGUUUUUGCUUUCCCCUCAGCCCUUUCUUCCCUCCCUCCUUCCCUCUCUCCCUUUCUCUCCUUCUCUCCUUUAUUUGAGGGGGGAAGAGUGCUGUACAAAGUCAAACAAACAAGUUUACAGUUGUAAGUGCAAUGACCCGAGUCCUCCACAUGACCUUGUGAAUUGUGUGCCGUCCUCUUGUGCUCUGUGAGAACUCGUGGUACUUCCGUGUCCCUCCCCCUGUAUCGUGACAAGGUAAUUCUGUGGUAUCAGAAUAAAAGGACUUGAUAUAAACAACCUA